rnacentral:rRNA from 1 species
GAUGAACGCUGGCGGCGUGCUUAACACAUGCAAGUCGAACGAUGAAGCCCAGCUUGCCGGGUGGAUUAGUGGCGAACGGGUGAGUAACACGUGAGUAACCUGCCCUUAACUCUGGGAUAAGCCUGGGAAACUGGGUCUAAUACCGGAUAGGAGCGUCCACCGCAUGGUGGGUGUUGGAAAGAUUUAUCGGUUUUGGAUGGACUCGCGGCCUAUCAGCUUGUUGGUGAGGUAAUGGCUCACCUAGGCGACGACGGGUAGCCGGCCUGAGAGGGUGACCGGCCACACUGGGACUGAGACACGGCCCAGACUCCUACGGGAGGCAGCAGUGGGGAAUAUUGCACAAUGGGCGCAAGCCUGAUGCAGCGACGCCGCGUGAGGGAUGACGGCCUUCGGGUUGUAAACCUCUUUCAGUAGGGAAGAAGCGAAAGUGACGGUACCUGCAGAAGAAGCACCGGCUAACUACGUG